rnacentral:rRNA from 1 species
AACGCGAAGAACCUUACCUGGGCUCGAAAUGUAGUGGACCGGGGUAGAAAUAUCCCUUCCUAGCAAUAGGCUGCUAUAUAGGUGCUGCAUGGCUGUCGUCAGCUCGUGUCGUGAGAUGUUGGGUUAAGUCCCGCAACGAGCGCAACCCUUAUUACCAGUUGCCAUCAUUUAGUUGGGCACUCUGGUGAGACCGCCUCGGAUAACGGGGAGGAAGGUGGGGAUGACGUCAAGUCCUCAUGGCCUUUAUGUCCAGGGCUACACACGUGCUACAAUGGCCGGUACAAACCGUCGCAAACCCGUGAGGGGGAGCUAAUCGGAGAAAGCCGGCCUCAGUUCGGAUUGGAGUCUGCAACUCGACUCCAUGAAGCUGGAAUCGCUAGUAAUCGCAGAUCAGAACGCUGCGGUGAAUACGUUCCCGGGCCUUGUACACACCGCACUACUA